GACGUAGGGCGCGAGCGUUGUCCGGAUUUAUUGGGCGUAAAGAGCUCGUAGGCGGCUUGUCGCGUCGACUGUGAAAACCCGUGGCUCAACCAUGUGGUCUGCAGUCGAUACGGGCAGGCUAGAAUUCGGUAGGGGAGACUGGAAUUCCUGGUGUAGCGGUGAAAUGCGCAGAUAUCAGGAGGAACACCGGUGGCGAAGGCGGGUCUCUGGGCCGAUAUUGACGCUGAGGAGCGAAAGCCAGGGGAGCAAACGGG
rnacentral:rRNA from 1 species